GAGCUGGGGUUAGACCGUUGUGAAACAGGUUAGUUUUACCCUACUGAUAUUAGCGUCGUUGCGACAGUAAUCCUGCUCAGUACGAGAGGAACCGCAGGUUCGGACAUUUGGUUCAGCACCCGGUCGAACGACCGAUAGUGCCAAGCUACCAUCCGUUGGAUUACGCCUGAACGCCUCUAAGGCGGAAUCCGGUCUGGAGAAAG
rnacentral:rRNA from 1 species